rnacentral:tRNA from 4 species
GUACUCGGCUACGAACCGAGCGGUCGGAGGUUCGAAUCCUCCCGGAUGCACCA